rnacentral:sRNA from 1 species
UGGCUGACUUCUUGGGGCCGCUAUGAGC